ACCAAUUCCGGACACAAUCUCAGCACUGUGGGAGACUGAGGCACCUGCCAAACCUGCACAGAUUCCUACAGCAGCCAGUUCGCUCUGUCUCGAGGCUUCAGAGGAACACGAACUUCUCUGAUGGAAGAGCCUUGUUCUAGAAGGGAGUGAAGCCUAGGUCUUUCCUGAGCACACAGAAGAUCAAGACCACACUCACUGACUUCUCAUAGUCAAGCAAUUUUGGCCAAUUAAAUGUCAGUUGGAAACUCCUGUGUCAGCUUCUCUGUGGCGGUGAGAAGUCCCUGUGUGACAUCCCAACUCUCCCCUCACCUGCGUUGGCAACCAAGAAAGCCUUGUGUUGGAGGUGGGGCCACAAGUUUAAAGCUAAGUUACCACCUCGAGGGCACAUUCCUGGAGAGCUUCCCAGGCCCACAGUGGCACGUGUAUGAGUGACAGAUCCACUUCUUUAUUACCUUUUUGAAGAACAGGAACCUUUGUCUGGAAAUUCCACAAGUAUGCCUUUUGCAAGAUUAAAAGUGCCACAAAGAACAAAAAUGAGCCCAGGACCAGAUGCAUGUUAAAAGCCAUCAGACACGUUAAGUUUCAUCUCCAUUGACCUGCAGAAGGAGUCUCUCACCACAGCCACCACAUCUAUGCAUGUGCUGAGUCACAUGUGAAGCCAGCACAUCUCAGAGUCUCACCGAAAGCUCAUGGUGAGACAAAGAGACUAGAAGGGGUAGAGUCAGCUAACUUCUCUCCUCCCACCACUGAUGAGGUUUUGGUGAAUUCUCUUCCCUUGCUCACUUGCAGAUUCAGCAGAGUUGUCUAUAGUGGCUUAAUUGGAAUUGCUGGACAAGAACAUUGAUUCUGCUUCACUCAGGUAAAGAUGAAAGUAACUGCAACAAUGGAUAUUGCAUUUGAAGGUCAUUGAGUUGUAGUCAGGCAAGGGGAGCAGAUAUUAAAACAUACACGCACAAAAUAAUGGGAUUUUUAUUUAGCAUCUCGCAAGUCUUGAGUAACAUAGUAUUAAUUGACCUUGAGAUUUCAUUCUUUUGUGACUCAUUGCAUUUGCUUUUGUGUUUCAGAUUAAUAUAGAAUAUUUUAAAGAAAGAGUAAUACAGCCAAUUUUAAUCUCUGGGAAGUUUAUGCAAGACAUAAUUUAUUUGUAAACUUUAUAAUAAUAUGUGAAUUAAAGACCCUUGUUAGUUUGGUAUGAAUCUGACAUAAGGGCUAAAAUCACUUUUUCAUUAGCCUUCUCCUGAUCUCAGGUUUACACCUAAGAGAUUCUUCACUCCAAAGUCUUCAUUUCCAAGCACAACCUGCUGGGUGCUGCGCUUUUCUGAGGUCUCCUCCCCAGCUCUGCAUCUAGCAGUGCUCAUGAUGCAAUGAUUUCCUGUCUGACUAUCCCAUUCCUAUCCUUUGCAAAGUUCACAUAGACCCAUUUGAGUACACUUUUAGUAGCAUACCAAGUUUAAGUGCCAAAGUUGUGUUUUAGUUCUUUCAUCCAGAAAGAAAACAUCAGCUGUUUCAAAUUUUAGAGUCCAGCUUGGGCAACAAGAGAAUUGUCAUGUCGUCGAUUGUGUAGUAAGACACAGUGAGUGUCCAGCAAUGUAAAAUCAGUCUAUAAAUGAGAAGAUUAAGACCAAAAGCAUCGGGUUACAAACAUCUCACUAAAGCCCAUUAGCAGGCAGAGAGCUCUCCGCGGAGCUAGAAAAUGAGACUUUUCCCUCCUUUCUGCCCCAUACAUUAGUGCUGAUCUCAGGAGCUCAUUUUUGCACCCUUUGUGGCAGACAACCAUAUAAUCAAAGGGUUCCCAUCACUAAAUCAUUUGAAAAGACAAGUAGAAAUUAGCUUUAGCUAAUUUAACUAGCCUUUGCCCCUCCUCCUGACCCUGAGGGUGAAGCACAUUUUAUCAUUCAUCCUCUGGGGGCUGGCUUAUGCUGGCUCCCUUUCCUUUGGCAGUGAUUUUAAGCAACCAAGUUCUUAUUACAAUUCUCAAAUUUAAAAUUAAGUUCUGAUCACAUCUUCUCAGGGCAUACCUAAGAGGCAGUGUUUAUCCCCAGCCAAAUCAAUUGUUUCCUCAAGUGACUCAUUCCUGAAAAUGUUAUUGUUUCUAAUAACCAGCUCAAAUAUGUAUUUUCAUUAAUCUUUUCUUUUACCUCCAUUUCACACGUGUUGCUGCAUGUCAGGCAGUUUCCACAAGGAUCUGCCAUGACAUCAUUGUGUGAGGUAUGAAAAAAAAAUUUUUUUUUUUCUAAUUUAAGAAUUACUUUUACUCAGAUGGUGGCUGGGCUGGGAAAUGUUCCCCAUUGCCCUGGGAGUUUUAGGCCAAGGCUUGUGUGUGUGUGUGUGUGUGUGUGUGUGUUGGAAGGGUCUCUCAUUGCCUAUUUCUGCUUAUAUAACACACACUGGUUUAGGUAGGUGGAGUCAGAAUGGGAAGAGGAAGUUCCCUAAGUGUUUCUUGCAUGCAAAGGUAAGUGGAGAAUGCCCAUCUGGGCACACAGGGCAAGGAUGCAGUGGAGUGACCUCUCCUUUCCCCUCCAACUCACAUGCUGGAGUUUAAAAACUGUAUCAGGAUGACAGAAACCAAGGGGUAAGACCACGGCUUCCUCUGGGGAUCUUCUAUAAACUGUAAGAACAAACACAGGUAUUUUGUAGUUCUUUAUCACAACGGGUCCUUUGCUGAUGAUUCUAGGUUUUAUGACUGCUGUUUUAUGUCCUACAAAUAGUAACAGGCAUUUCCCUUUGCCCUACACCACAGUAAGCCACUGGCCUAGACAAGAAGCAACUCUGCACUGCUUUUCAAACAUCAUCCUCCCUCUCGACCGCAGGGACUAUUUGGUUUCUAUUCUACUUCUGGCCUUUCAUAUUCCUGAUGGUGCAUUGGAUGAAACCCCGCAGCCAGGCGUGUGAACGUGGUUGAAAAGACCCAUGGAGGACCAGCAACGCUUCCCCACAGCGUGGGAUGGUCCCCUCCUGAGAUGGCCCACUGUCAGCGGGACUGACGCCAAGCACUGCAUCCUGUCUGCUUCUUGAACAGCCCCUUCAUUGUUUGUUCAGCUAUUCUGCUGCAUCUGCAGAUAGCCCUGCCUGAGAAACAGCCUCAAACCAGAAGGAGAGGAUGGCGGCAAGCCUUAGAGAAACAUAUGACCGUAAAGAAAAUUUGGGAAUGUGUAUUUCAGGGAAAAUGAAAAUGAUCCCAAUAAAGAUCGGAGAUGCAGGAAGGAAGGAAAACAUAGAAAUUGAGCCAGUUGGAGUGUGAGGCUUCAGAAUCGCCUUCCAACUCUCUGUGCACUGCACCAGCUGCUUCCCAUAGACUCCUGGUAAAAUAUAGAGCGGAAGGAAGAAGAGCCACUACCCAUAACAUCAGUGGCUGCUAACUAAGGAGUGUUUUGACAUGCUGGUACAGCCUAUCCUCAGCUUUCCAGAAGGUGGAAUCUUGUGAUAGUGGAAAGAAGUAGAAGAGAUGAAGUACCUAUGACUCCAGGAUUUGCCAGUGAAAGAAGUCAACAAUAUUUUAACUUUGAUCUUAACCAAAAGGCCAAGAAGUGAUGCUAAUAUUUUCAUAUACUACGACAGUUGCAGACACACGUCUAUCAUAGCUGGGUAGUAAUCCAGGCAACUCUGCCACAAGUCAUGGGCUCAGCCACCAGUCCACGAAGUCUCCAGUCACACAUAUUGCUUCGGACUAUUCUCUAUCCCCAGUUGUCAAUUAACUAAAAUAUUAAAUGAGGAUGCCAUGGAGUCCCCCAACUGAUUUCAUAAAUUUGGUGUCACAUUGUAAAUCAAGCAGCUGCAGAGUGGCUGGGACAUCUGUUUGGUUCUGUUAUUCUCUUUACUCCAAAAGGAAACUAACUCCAAAAGAAGAAAACCUGAUGUCUGAGCUGAAUCCUAAUCAUGAAGAUGUUUUUCCACCAUUCCUGUCUGUGUUUUUCUACCAUUCCUGUCUGUGUUUUUCUACCAAAGUGUGCUCUUGAAGUUCUGCAUUUCCCAGGGUGUGGUGAAAGAAGAGAAAAAAAUGUCCAAGAUGACUUCAACGUUCUGACCUUGAGUGGCUUGAGUGAAUGGAGUUACAACUGUGCAGAAAGAUUCAGUAGAGAGUUUUGGAUUUAUGCACCAGUAAGGGGAAAACUGAACAGCUGCAGAGAGCUGUAACUUUUAUAGGAGAUUAAUCUAUAAGAGAAGACAGCAAACUACAGCCUGUGUGUCAAAUCCUACUUGCCACGUCCACUGAAAGCUAACUACACUGGAACACUCUCAUUUCUGCAAAGAAAAAUAUCAUAUCCCAGGAUGAAAAGGAGGAGGAAGAGGAAAGGCUAACUUAACAAGAAGCUCUUUGACAUUCUUGAAUUAGACACCCAACGUAGUCCACGCAGUACGGAGGAUGACUUCAGAAGUGCAAUUCUGAUAUGGACUUUGUCUCCCUAAGGCUUUCAGUUCCUCAUAUUUAGGAUAAAACAGAAGUUUAUGUAAAGCCAAGGGAGAGGGUCACCGGGAGAGGGAAGGAGGAACAGCAGAAGGAGAGGUCCACACAUGAAAAUACUUGGAAGCGCCCCAGGGCCUAUCAGAUGCAGGUCUUGGCGGAAAUUACCAAACAUACUUUAGACAGGCUGCUGUGUUGCUGAGUGUGGACUGGCCUCAGGGCCUGCUGAUCAAAGCAAAAGGAAGCAGUGAAAAAAACAUCACCAUGUCUUCUUAGAGUCUAAUCUGGGGGCAAGAGGCCAGCAUGCACAGUUGGUGCUGAUUUUCUUGGGCGGAUAGAGGAAAGGUGUAGGCGUGGCCAACAUUUGAGCAGCAUGUGGUUCCUCUCACACGCCAUGCUGUUUCCGGCCUCCUUGCAUUUUACUCAUGCCAUCCUCCUGGUCACUUCUUUGAGAUAUUAAGUGCAUUCUUUAGGACUCAGACUCAGCUCAAGGGUCAGUGCAUCCAUGAAGCCUUACCUGGAUCCCAGAGGGAGCUCUGUGCUCCUCCUUUGUCUCCUAUAGGACCCAGUACAUGCGUCCAGUAUUAUCCAUACACACUGAAAUGAUCUAGCAUGUGUCUUCCCAUAGGAUUUCAAAUUCUUAGAAUAUAGGAGUGAUGCCUUCUUCCUACUUAUAUUUCCAGUGUUAACAGUGCCUGUCAAUUGACUUGAAGAUAACUAAAAGUCUGGUUGUUAAGGGCUGCUUCCCACCUCCAAAUACUUCCCUGGAAGUCAUUGUAUGGGCACUGACAUUGGUAGGUCUCCACUGGCUUGUAGAUGCUUCUGAUUAUAAGGUAGUCUCAGAUGCCUUCAGAAAGUUCUAAGACUGUAUAAAACAUUUCCUUCACAACCAAUAACUGUGUAUUAUUGUUCGUGUAAUUCCAGAAGUUAUCCUUUUGAUAGAGAGCAAUUACUUUAUUGAUUGAGAGUUAGCUAAUUAUGUAAUAAAGGUAAAGAUUUGCAUAGAGAAGUGUAAGAGACAUGGAGAAGAUUCUUGGUGGGUGGUGAGGGCGGGUACAUUUACACCAGACCAAGACUGAUCUGGCUGUGGCGCUGGAGAUUAAACUGUUUAAAUAUGGGAUCCUAAGAAGACUUCUGUGCAUUCUAGACUUCAAGAGACAGAUUGCAUUUUUUUUUAGGAAAUGUAGAUAAAACCCUUUGACUGAAUGACUCUAGAAAAUAAUACUGAUUUGAGAGAGAAAGGAAAUUCUAAAACAAAAUCCUGACAGCAGAGGCAUGAAUGAUCCUCAUGAGGAAGAAAUGAGACUCUGCUUAACUACACUGUAGAUUUUGGUGUGGAAGAAGAUGGAAGGUGGGUAUAUAGCCAAAUUUUGAAUACAAUAGGGCAGCACAAAACUGUGACAACAGUGGCAGAAGGACUGAAGUACAGAAUGUGUGAAAGUUGUUGUGAAAUAAAUAGAGAGCAACAGAAAAGGACUAUUUGGGCUGGGCAAUGGUAAUCCCAGAACUUUGGGAGGCUGAGUCAGGUGGAUCACCUGAGGUCAGGAGCUCAAGA
rnacentral:lncRNA from 1 species